UACGUAGGGUGCGAGCGUUAAUCGGAAUUACUGGGCGUAAAGCGUGCGCAGGCGGUUCGUCGUGUCCGAUGUGAAAGCCCCGGGCUCAACCUGGGAAUGGCAUUGGAAACUGGCGGACUCGAGUGUGGCAGAGGGGGGUGGAAUUCCGCGUGUAGCAGUGAAAUGCGUAGAGAUCGGGAGGAACACCUGUGGCGAAGGCGGCUCGCUGGGCCGAUCCUGACGCUGAGACGCGAAGGCGUGGGGAGCGAACGGG
rnacentral:rRNA from 1 species